GUACGCUGGCGGCACGCCUAACACAUGCAAGUCGAACGAAGUAGCAAUACUUAGUGGCAGACGGGUGAGUAACAUGUAGGUAUCUGCCCUUUGGCCUGGAAUAACACGAGGAAACUUGUGCUAAUACCGGAUAAGUCUUUACGGAGAAAGCUUUAUGCACCAUUGGAUGAGCCUGCACUUGAUUAGUUUGUUGGUGGGGUAAUGGCCUACCAAGACCGUGAUCAAUAGCUGAUUUGAGAGGAUGAUCAGCCACAUUGGGACUGAGACACGGCCCAAACUCCUACGGGAGGCAGCAGUGGGGAAUCUUGCACAAUGGAGGAAACUCUGAUGCAGCGAUGCCGCGUGAGUGAAGAAGGCCCUUGGGUUGUAAAGCUCUUUCGUCGGGGAAGAAAAUGACUGUACCCGAAUAAGAAGGUCCGG
rnacentral:rRNA from 1 species